AGACCAUGUUGUGGAAAUUGUUGGAUCAUCCCUUUAUAUCUUUCCCAUGCUUCAUAAUAGCACUCUGAAUGAAGCUAAGAGAAUGUAGUGAUUUCAUCUCUCAACUU
rnacentral:snoRNA from 1 species